rnacentral:rRNA from 1 species
GUCCACGCUGUAAACGAUGACGACUAGGUGUGGGGUGGUUCAGUCCAUUCCGUGCCGCAGCUAACGCAUUAAGUCGUCCGCCUGGGGAGUACGGCCGCAAGGUUGAAACUCAAAGGAAUUGACGGGGGCCCGCACAAGCGGUGGAGCAUGUGGUUCAAUUCGAUGCAGAGCGAAGAACCUUACCUGGGCUUGACAUGCUGGAAGUAGGACCCCGAAAGGGGGACGACCUGUUAAGUCAGGAGCCAGCACAGGUGGUGCAUGGCUGUCGU